CUAAAAAGAAAAAAUUUUAGCAGCUUUACAAACUAUAUUUCCUAAAGUUCCAAUAAUUAACUACAAUAGAAUUCACACAAAUAUAACUGUGUCACCAUUACUUUUUAUUAUUUUUUUUUCAAAUUAUUAGUAGCUUUGGUAAAUGUAUGAGUAUUAUGAGACUUGUAAUUUUGUGUAUGCAGGACCCUUCCACUUUGGUCGUCCUAGAAAUACUUUUUGUUUGUACACUAGAUGUUGUUCCACUGACAGCGACUGUAUUGGUGCAAGUUGUGGCCCCCGGUGUGCCCCUAACUGGCCUUGUAACCAUGGCAUGUGUGGUCCUUAAUUACUAAAGUAAAUUUGUACUGAGGUUCGUACAAAAUACUAGAAUAAAAUUUGUACUGAAGUUGAGGUCGCAAACAAUCAUUAUGAUUAUUUAGCUAUAUCAACUUGUAGAACCUACGAUGUGGUAAUGUAUUUUUAAAUAUUUCUUCUAAGUUUGAGUUGUUUUAUUGGAUAGUUGUAUAUUCUGUUGGGUGUGUU
rnacentral:lncRNA from 1 species